GGGGAGUUAAGUUAAAGAAAACUGGUUGCCUUCAAAGCUAUUAAUGUUGGUUCAAGUCCAGCACUCCCUG
rnacentral:tRNA from 1 species